rnacentral:rRNA from 1 species
UACGAAGGGGGCUAGCGUUGCUCGGAAUCACUGGGCGUAAAGGGUGCGUAGGCGGGUCUUUAAGUCAGGGGUGAAAUCCUGGAGCUCAACUCCAGAACUGCCUUUGAUACUGAGGAUCUUGAGUUCGGGAGAGGUGAGUGGAACUGCGAGUGUAGAGGUGAAAUUCGUAGAUAUUCGCAAGAACACCAGUGGCGAAGGCGGCUCACUGGCCCGGUACUGACGCUGAGGCACGAAAAGCGUGGGGAGCAAACAGGG